rnacentral:lncRNA from 1 species
CCACAUACAACCACGUACAUAAACAUACCUCUUUCCUCAUGAUGAAAUAAAUAGCCAGAAGCUCAACAUUUAUGAACAUAUUUAAAAGAACAAGUUAAACUUCAGUUAAUUCAAUCAUAUUGGUUUGGUUGAGGUUUUGAAUUUUAAGGUGUAGGUAGGAUAAACAACAAGUCAAAACUGUAGCAAAACCACCGCUACGUUUACUUGUCUCAAAGCAAUGAUGCAAAUGGCACUAGGCAAGAUCCGGAGCAAUACCACCUGUUCAGCAUCAUGAACUCAGUACAUACAAUUCAAACAAACAUAUAUGAACAAUUGGCAUACCUCUCCUAUGCCCGAACCCUUAAACAUAUGAGAAAGACCAAAAGCAGCAAAACCAUAAUCAUCCUACAAGAGCAGCAACACUUCUCUUUUUUUAACUUUUAAUGUACAAAAGCAAUGCUAGUAAAUAAAUACAUUUUUAGAAACUGCAGAGAAAAGAGAACAACUUUUUAUUGGUCAAAAUAUUUUUAUUUACAAAGCAAAUUGUACUAAUCUUCGAUUCAAUUCAGACUAUAGGAUCUGUCUUGAAUUGAAUUCUAACAGUCAAGAGUAAAACCUUGAUAUCUGCAUCACUCAUCCAAUAAUUAUGAAACUUUACCAGAGAAUGCACAAUUAUAUUAUCCAUAACUUUGGUUAUAUGGCUCUUUACAGUAAAAAAUCACUAAGAUUAAUUAAUCAUUAUAGCAACCUCGAGUGCUAAAUCUGACAACACAAAACUAUUAGUCCACUUUAAAAUUUCAUCUCUGGAGUUCUAGCCAUCUGAAAAUUAUGAUCUAUAAUAAUAUGGAAAGCUUGAUAAAAACUCUAAAACUUUGGUAUUCAUUUGAAGAGCUUAUUGUGCCUCUAAGGUGCAAGAGAUCUAUUACUUUUCAGAAACCUGUCAAAAUAAGACAGGCAUCUUGAACUGCAAUAUCUCUUAAACCAUUUGGCCAAAAAUUAUGAUCUAGGACUUCAUCGAAAGGUCUCUGAGUCUUCUUAAAAAACCUCUAAAGGUGGAAAAAGUUAAUUAGGACUGUAUCAUUUCCAAAUUCAACGAUGAACAGAAACUGCCGAAACUAUCAUUCUGCAGAUACUAAUCACGAGAUCCAUCUCUAAUGCCCCCUCUAAUCCAACGAAAAAGAUUAAAAGCCAGCCCUAAAACUCAUCCAAAAGUAGGUGAUUAGAUCAAAACCAUCUCACCUUGAUCCUCCAAAAAACAUAUGGUUUGUGCAGCCCCCUUCCUCUCCUUGCCUCUUCU